rnacentral:rRNA from 1 species
CCUACGGGAGGCAGCAGUGGGGAAUUUUGGACAAUGGGCGCAAGCCUGAUCCAGCCAUGCCGCGUGUGGGAAGAAGGCCUUCGGGUUGUAAACCACUGUUGUCAGGGAAGAAACGGCUCUUACUAAUAUUAGGGGCUAAUGACGGUACCUGAAGAAUAAGCACCGGCUAACUACGUGCCAGCAGCCGCGGUAAUACGUAGGGUGCAAGCGUUAAUCGGAAUUACUGGGCGUAAAGCGUGCGCAGGCGGCUUUGCAAGACAGAUGUGAAAUCCCCGGGCUCAACCUGGGAACUGCAUUUGUGACUGCAUGGCUAGAGUACGGUAGAGGGGGAUGGAAUUCCGCGUGUAGCAGUGAAAUGCGUAGAUAUGCGGAGGAACACCGAUGGCGAAGGCAAUCCCCUGGACCUGUACUGACGCUCAUGCACGAAAGCGUGGGGAGCAAACAGGAUUAGAUACCCUGGUAGUCCACGCCCUAAACGAUGUCAACUGGUUGUUGGACGGCUUGCUGUUCAGUAACGAAGCUAACGCGUGAAGUUGACCGCCUGGGGAGUACGGCCGCAAGGUUGAAACGUUAAAGGAAUUGACGG